AAGGCAUAAUACAUGCAAGUCGAACGGGAUAGAACUUAGCAAUAGGUUCUUGAGAGUGGCGCACGGGUGCGUAACACGUAUGCAACCUACCUUUAACUGGGGGAUAGCCUCUCGAAAGAGAGAUUAAUACCCCAUAGUAUAACUGAAGAGCUAUUUUUUGGUUAUUAAAGAUUUAUCGGUUAAAGAUGGGCAUGCGGCUGAUUAGGUAGUUGGUGAGGUAAUGGCCCACCAAGGCGAUGAUCGGUAGCUGUUCUGAGAGGAAGAUCAGCCACACUGGGACUGAGACACGGCCCAGACUCCUACGGGAGGCAGCAGUGGGAAUUUUGGACAAUGGGGGCAACCCUGAUCCAGCAACGCCGCGUGAAUGAAGAAGGCCUUAGGGUUGUAAAGUUCUUUUGUCGCAGAGCAAAAUGCUUGUACUAAUACUAUGAGUAGAUGAGAGUAUGCGAAGAAUAAGCACCGGCUAACUACGUG
rnacentral:rRNA from 1 species